UACGAAGGGGGCUAGCGUUGUUCGGAAUCACUGGGCGUAAAGCGCACGUAGGCGGAUCUUUAAGUCAGGGGUGAAAUCCCGAGGCUCAACCUCGGAACUGCCUUUGAUACUGGGGAUCUCGAGUCCGGAAGAGGUGAGUGGAAUUCCUGGUGUAGCGGUGAAAUGCGCAGAUAUCAGGAGGAACACCGAUGGCGAAGGCAGCUCACUGGGACGGUACUGACGCUGAGACGCGAAAGCGUGGGGAGCAAACAGG
rnacentral:rRNA from 1 species